ACAAAAAACACAUGAUUUCUCUGUGUAACCCUAGCUAUCCUGGGACUCACUUUGUAGACCAGGUUGGCCUUGAACUCACAGACAUCUGCCUGCCUCUGCCCCCAGAGUGCUGGUGUUAAAGGUGUGAGCCACCACCACCCAGCCCCCAUAUUCAUUUUACUGUGUGCGUGUCUGUGAGUCCUUGGUGGGGCUGAGGGAUUGACAGUCAUCCAGCCGCCUAUGUACACAGAGCUCCGUCUGGGCAGUGCGUGUCCCCAAGUGUGACAGUCUCCCUUGGCUGCAGGAAAUGGACUCCCUUAGGGAAAGUCCAGCAUGAGGGACCUCAAGCAGAGGGGGGUCUCUACCCGUUCAAGGGUUCACAGUCAGCAUGUUGGGGAAACCCACCACCUGGUGGGUCUCAGAAUGACUAGGUCCCUCAGCCAGUUCUAGAAAUUGAGUCACAGGGCUGGGGGUGGGGGUGGGGCACUCCAGACCAGAGCUGGUUCCUUCGGAUAAAUCAUUUAUCACCAAUAUGAUGCCUCUGUACCUUCUGAUUUUCUUUGGGUAUGCUUCUCACCCAACCCUCCUGCCGGCAACUGCACACUAGUUUAAAUGAGAGAGAGAGAGAGAGAGAGAGAGAGAGAGAGAGAGAGAGAGAGAGAGAGAGAGAAUGAGAGAGUGCCCUGCCUAGUUACUAUAACCCCCUGUUAGAGUCUGCUCAGGGUCGUCUCUCUUUUGAAGCAGGGUGACCCCAACACACUGGAACAAUAAAAACUCUUGCUUUUGCAUCAACCACCGCCUCAUUCGAGGAGUACUGAUAGAGGUUCGACUCGAACCUCACAAGAGAGAUGGAGGAGAGACAGAGAGACAGCGAGAUUGAGAGACAGAGAAGCAGAGACAGUGAGAGAGACAGAGAGAGAGGAGAGUAGACCAUUUUGGCUUAGUUCAUGACAUUUGGCACGUUAAAAUAGUACAAAUCAUUAUUCCAAAUCUUAGAAAUGAAAAUAAAUGAAAGCUAGAUUGGUGGCGAUGACCCAGGAGUUAAAAGCACUGGCUGCUCUUCCGGAAGACCCAGUUUCUAUUCCCAGGGCCCAUAUAGCAGCUCACAACUGUCUAUAAAUCCAGUUGUAGGGGAUCUGAUAGCUUCUUCUGGUCUCCACUGGCACCAGGCAUGCUCAUGGUGCAUGGACAUACAUACAGAUGCUCACACAUACACACAAAAUCAAACACUAACUAGACGCAGGAGUCCAUGCUUGGUGGGUGUGACACUGCACUGUGUGGUGGUCCCUGGCCUGCUGGACAUUGUCAUCAUUUUACACAUGCCAGACGAAGCUAGCAGGGACAGAGAAACCUCCGAAUGCUUUUACCGGCCACCCCCUAUUUUCUGCACUCUGAUGCCUUAACCUCACGGGGUCUUCCUGACCCCGUAAACACUUCUACUUCCAAGCAUGAGUCCUAGGUGGCACACAGCUCGCCUGUAAGGGCCUCUCCCAUGUGUGCAGCACCCCCAGAGGCAUCCUCUUUGUCAGUCUCCUUGAGCAGCCACCCCAAUGCCAAAUUGCUCCCACCUCCCCACGUUGGGGUGGCACCUCACAGUUUGAGUAGCCGGAUAUUGGAGAGCCUCCUUCAGGAUGUUUGGCUAUUCCCUGCUGUGUGGGAAGAGAGAUUUGCAGAACAUAAGGGUAUGGGACCAUCUGAAGCGUGUGCACUGACUGCCCUGUGACAGGACACCCCGAACCCUGGAAGCUUCUAUCCAAACAGCUCCGAGCCCACUUCUAACACUGGCAUGUCUCUGGAUCUGUCUCUUGAGGGCAGGUCACAUCAUUGGCUAGCAGUGGCCCAAGGUCGGACACUGAGAGGCCUGAGAGGCACCCCAAGGAACCUCAUCCUUCAAUUCUGAACCUGAACUUCUGGCUUCAUCAGACUGGAUGGGAUGAAAGGAAAACCGAACAAACCGGAAUCCCACAGGGCACGCAAUUGGCCUUGCUUUGUUCUCUUGUCUUAUGGAAGGUGUUUCUCUGUGUAGCCCUGCUUCUUGGAACAAGCUCUGUAAACCAGGUUGGCCUUGAAUUCACAGAGGCCUGUCUCUGCCUCUAGAGCACUGGGAUUAAAGCUGUGUGGUACCACUGCCCGCCCAGCCUGAGUUCAGCAUUUUGUUUAGAUCAGCUGAAGUGUAAGCCCCAGGGAGCCUCCUGCCUCGAACUCUCCAGUCCCGGGAUUACAGGUAUUUACUACCACACCGGGCUUCUUUACAGGGUGCUGGGAGGGCAGGAUCUGAACUCAGGCCCUCAUUGUUGAACAGUCAGCCACCUGCCUCCUUUUCUGAGACAAGGUAUCAAGUAGUCCUGGCUGGUCUGAAACUCAAAACAUAGCCGGAAAGGAUUCUUCAGGUUCUGCUUCUCCAUGCCCAGUUUACCCAGCACUGGGGUGGAACCCAGGGCUUUGUGCAUUCCAGGCAAGUCCCCAACCACGUGGGCUACAUCCCCAGCAGGCAGUGGUGUUUCCUAGAUGAGGAUAUGAACUUAGGGAGACUAAGUGGCUUCCUGGGUCACACGGUGAGUGCAGGGCCAAGAUGUGACUCUCUCCCAUCUUGCUGUGAGUCUUCUAUGCCCAGGAAGCCACUCUAGCAUCCUGCCUAAGUCCCUGCUGCUGUCGCCCACUGUGCCUAAGGUACAAAGGCUCCGGGAAGGGCUCAACUUGAUUAGCCAGAAGAACAGAAGGAGCAGAUGGGAAUCUAGGAAAUUAUUUCAGGAUAAACAUAGAAACAAGAAGUUGUCUGCCCGCUUGCCAUCCUGGCAGUUCUCAGGCAGAGGUUGGAGGCACAUUCCAACCCCCGACCCCCACCACACACACAUACACACACACACACACACACACACACACACACACACACACACACACACACACACACGGGGUUUCCCUUUAUAGUCCUGGCUGUCCUUGAACUCAAUCUGUAGACCAGGCUGGCUUCGAACUCAGAGAUCCACCUGCUGCUGCCUCGCAAGUGCUGGGAUUAAAGGUGUGCCACCACCUACCUGGCUAGCCUAUUGUACACGGUGAGCUUCAGGGCAGCCAGGGCUAUGCAGUGAGACCUUGUCUUAAUGACAAUACUAUCAAAGCGUAAUAAAACAGGUUUAGGAGCUGGCUUGGCGGUUAAGAGCGCGGGAUGCUCUCUCCCAGAGGACCCUGGUUUUAUAUUCAGCGCCUGCGUGGAGGCUCACAACCACCUAGAUUUUCAGACUCAGGGGCCUGAUGCCCUCUUGUGACCUCUGUGGGUACUGCAUGCAUUUGGUUCACAGCCCUCUCAUCAUGAAUGGAGGGGGACGAGUCCAUCCUGGGCUGUGUAGCAUAUUGUCAGCUUCUGAGAUGGACACUUUUUAAUGUGGUGGAUUAAAGGUGUAAACGUUAGAGUUUGGUAGAUACUCAUACGUGCUCACUGGGCCUCCGGGUCCUCAGCAAACCUCCCAGCUGGAGAUGGUGUCUCUACUGUGGUUCCCAGGGACGCAUGAAGAGUUAAGGAGAGAUGCCCACAGAUUAGACUCAGCCUCACAGGUACACUUAUUUCUCUGCUUUGCACAUACUUGACUGAAAGGGGCUACCGCCCUUCGUCUUGAACCUGCAUCCCUGGAGUUUACAACUGCCCUGAGCUCGGCUUUGGGACUUCUCCACAAGCAGGAAAGAGCAGUUGCAGGCCAGGAGACCCGGAGGGGUAGCUAGGAUGCCCCUUGAAUGGGUCCACAAUCAGGAUUUACUUCCUCCGGCUCUGGCCAGUGGCUGCAACCUCACACAGGCCCACCGGGAUUCUCACAGAGAGGUUCCUGUCCGUUAACAUUUCCUUUCACCUCGUGAGCUGCCGAGAACACCAAUUCCUUUCCGGUAGUGACACCCAUUUUCCUCCGGGGCUUUCAGGUUUCUUUUCUCCCCUGUUUACACAAAGCUGCUUUCUUCAGUGGGGCCCGGAAAGGUUAAGAUAUUUCCCUCUGGUGCUGUGUAUGGCUGAGACCAGAAGCCAAGAGGCCAGAUGAUGCUCGCACCUCCGUGAGGCCUCGAAGGAGCUGCAGGCUUUCUGCCAGGGAAGACUGGACCACCGCUGCUCGCUUGCUUGCCUUUUGAAAAUUCCCAUCCCCGAGGACCAGGGCUGCCUGUGGAUCCAACGGCUUUAUUGCCAAAUUGAUUAUUUAUGUAAGUGCUGCUCUACUUCUUUCUGGUGCUAAGCCAGUUUAAAAGUUCCAGAAGCAUAAAGCACACAUCCGCAACAGUCAUUAUCAGUGGGACGGAGAAGCAGCAAACCGGAAGGGUGAGCUCCAUCUCGGGCCACGAAGGGGUGAGCUCCAUUGCGGGCUGACUGCCCACCGAGGCUGAGGCUGCUCCUGGCUUGUGCGUUCCCGUGUUUACUGCAGACUCACCCCGUCCUGCUCCCGUGUGCUCACUUAUUUUAAAUUUUAAUUUAGUUUUGGUUCACCAAAUAGGGUCCCACCGGGUGACCCAGGCUGACCCACAACCUGUGAUGAUUCUGCUUCAGCCUCUUAAGUCCUGAAAUUAUAGGCUUGAACCUCUA